UUGAAAGAUAUGCUGGUAUUAUUGGCACAAUGGGCAAGCAUUGAAGUGCAACUUGGUGAACUACAAAAUACAUCAAAUUCAGUUAUAAAAAUUUGAGUAUUAAAGGUAUGCUAAUUAUUGUAUUGCCUGAAAGAGUGUCAUUGCCAUUAAAAGCAGCUUAGAAUUCAAGUACUCUGGAAGAAAAAAGACAAGAAAACACUUCAGUAAAUGGCUGUGUAUUUUUGCAAGUUAAUUAUUUGGCACAAAUUGAAGUUAAAGACGAAGGAGAUUGUAUUAGUUAUUUACUAAGAAUAGUUUAUUAAAAUGGCCUAGCUGUAAAAUUAAAUUAUGCAGGGAGAGGAUAAAAAAUUGGAAUAGAAAAAAUGUUGAUUGCAUAUGCUGCUAUUGAAACUGUGAAGUCAAUUAAGCAUGGCUUAUGCGGACAUGUGAUAGAGAUAGCAGAAGAAAAAAUAAUAAUCGUUGGCACCAAAUAUCAUAAGCUAAACACGAUUCAAUAACAAGUAGCUCAGUCAAUAUCGAAACUACUCUAUAAAUUUUACAGUGAAUUUUUUUAUUUAAAACUCAAU